rnacentral:rRNA from 1 species
UCAGACGAUGCGUCAUGCAUAUCAAUAAGCGGAGGAAAAGAAACUAACAAGGAUUCCCCUAGUAACGGCGAGUGAAGCGGGAAGAGCUCAAAUUUGAAAUCUUAAAGGGUUUCCCUUUACGAAUUGUAGUUUAAAGAAGUGUUUUCUGUUGAGGUUUUGGUAAAAGUUCUUUGGAAUAGGACAUCAUAGAGGGUGAGAAUCCCGUAUUUGACCUUUACUUUCAACUUUGUGAUACACUUUCAAAGAGUCGGAUUGUUUGGGAAUGCAGUCCAAAAUGGGUGGUAAAUUUCAUCUAAAGCUAAAUAUUGGCGAGAGACCGAUAGCGAACAAGUACCGUGAGGGAAAGAUGAAAAGAACUUUGAAAAGAGAGUUAAACAGUACGUGAAAUUGUCAAAAGGGAAGCGUUUGACACCAGUGUUGUUUUUCUGAAAAUCAAUUAAAGAACUGUUUAUGCUAAGCUUGUUUAGACUUUAUCAGCUAUCUGUUUAGUUUUGAGCUUUUCUUUAAUGCACUUUUCAGUUAACAAGUCAACAUCAAUUUCUUUUGCUGUAAAAAAGCUUGAGGAAGGUGGCUUGAGAUUCGUCUUAAGUGUUUAUAGCCUCUUGCCUAUGCAGAUCGGAGAGAUUGAGGUCUGCAGCGUAGAUCCUUCGGGGCUAAAUGCAUUUGUGCUAAGUUAUAGCAUUUUAUAGACAACUUGUUGACUAUGAUUUGUCUUGUAGCUUACUCGCUUAUGUUAUUUUACCUACGCUUAGGAUGUUGAAUCUGUGCGAGACUA